AAACUUUCAACAACGGAUCUCUUGGUUCUCGCAUCGAUGAAGAACGCAGCGAAAUGCGAUAAGUAGUGUGAAUUGCAGAAUUCAGUGAAUCAUCGAAUCUUUGAACGCACAUUGCGCCCUCUGGUAUUCCGGAGGGCAUGCCUGUCCGAGCGUCAUU
rnacentral:rRNA from 1 species